CGGAGUGUAGCUCAGCUUGGUAGAGCACUACGUUCGGGACGUAGGGGCCGCAGGUUCGAAUCCUGCCACUCCGACCA
rnacentral:tRNA from 1 species